AGGACUGAGGAGAGUCCAGGAUUGCAGCCUUUGCAGGAACUAGAUCCAUAAAGAACUUCUGAAACAGAUUCCUGAUGGAGAGGAAGUGUGCUGAUAUUAUUAAGGAGGCCUUGAUGCUUCACACCAAAGAAAUCAAUGAUCUCACACAUCAAGCUGAACAGUGGAAACAGAAAUGUGAUAUUCAGCAAAACCAAAAACAAAGAUUGCAAGAUGAAUGCAAAACUCUUGAGUCCAAAAACAUAAGCCUUCAGAGCACAGUAGAGAGUUUUAA